rnacentral:rRNA from 1 species
GAGUUUGAUCAUGGCUCAGGACGAACGCUGGCGGCGUGCUUAACACAUGCAAGUCGAACGGUGAAGCGCCUUCCUUUUUGGUGGGUGUGGAUGAGUGGCGAACGGGUGAGUAACACGUGAGUAACCUGCCCCCUUCUUCUGGAUAACCGCAUGAAAGUGUGGCUAAUACGGGAUAUUCUGUGCCUGCUGCAUGGUGGGUGUGGGAAAGAUUGCGCUUUUUUGGUGUUUUUGGUGGGGGAUGGGCUCGCGGCCUAUCAGCUUGUUGGUGGGGUGAUGGCCUACCAAGGCGGUGACGGGUAGCCGGCCUGAGAGGGUGGACGGUCACACUGGGACUGAGACACGGCCCAGACUCCUACGGGAGGCAGCAGUGGGGAAUAUUGCACAAUGGGCGCAAGCCUGACGCAGCGACGCCGCGUGAGGGAUGGAGGCCUUCGGGUUGUGAACCUCUUUCGCCAGUGAAGCAGGCCUGCUCCUUUUUUGUGGGUGGGUUGACGGUAGCUGGAUAAGAAGCGCCGGCUAACUACGUGCCAGCAGCCGCGGUAAUACGUAGGGCGCGAGCGUUGUCCGGAAUUAUUGGGCGUAAAGAGCUCGUAGGCGGCUGGUCGCGUCUGUCGUGAAAUCCUCUGGCUUAACUGGGGGCUUGCGGUGGGUACGGGCCGGCUUGAGUGCGGUAGGGGAGACUGGAACUCCUGGUGUAGCGGUGGAAUGCGCAGAUAUCAGGAAGAACACCGGUGGCGAAGGCGGGUCUCUGGGCCGUUACUGACGCUGAGGAGCGAAAGCGUGGGGAGCGAACAGGAUUAGAUACCCUGGUAGUCCACGCCGUAAACGUUGGGCACUAGGUGUGGGGGGCCUUUUCCGGGUUUUCCGCGCCGUAGCUAACGCAUUAAGUGCCCCGCCUGGGGAGUACGGCCGCAAGGCUAAAACUCAAAGGAAUUGACGGGGGCCCGCACAAGCGGCGGAGCAUGCGGAUUAAUUCGAUGCAACGCGAAGAACCUUACCAAGGCUUGACAUGUGCCGGUCGGCUCCGGAGACGGGGUUUCCUCCUUGUGGGGCCGGUUCACAGGUGGUGCAUGGUUGUCGUCAGCUCGUGUCGUGAGAUGUUGGGUUAAGUCCCGCAACGAGCGCAACCCUUGUCUCGUGUUGCCAGCACGUUGUGGUGGGGACUCGCGGGAGACUGCCGGGGUCAACUCGGAGGAAGGUGGGGAUGACGUCAAAUCAUCAUGCCCCUUAUGUCUUGGGCUUCACGCAUGCUACAAUGGCCGGUACAGAGGGCUGCGAUACCGUGAGGUGGAGCGAAUCCCUUAAAGCCGGUCUCAGUUCGGAUCGGUGUCUGCAACUCGACACCGUGAAGUUGGAGUCGCUAGUAAUCGCAGAUCAGCAACGCUGCGGUGAAUACGUUCUCGGGCCUUGCACACACCGCCCGUC